GAUUAACGCUGGCGGCGUGCAUAACACAUGCAAGUCGAACGAUGAAAGCUAAAUGAUUUCUUCGGAAUGAAUUUAGCCGGAUUAGUGGCGGACGGGUGAGUAACGCGUGAGUAACCUGCCUUAGAGAAGGGGAUAGCCUUUGGAAACGAAGAAUAAUACCCUAUGACACCAACACCUCGCAUGAAGAGUUGGUCAAAGAUUUAUCGCUCUAAGAUGGACUUGCGUCUGAUUAGUUAGUUGGUGAGGUAACGGCUCACCAAGACAGCGAUCAGUAGCCGGCUUGAGAGAGUGUACGGCCACAUUGGGACUGAGACACGGCCCAGACUCCUACGGGAGGCAGCAGUGGGGAAUUUUGCACAAUGGGGGAAACCCUGAUGCAGCGACGCCGCGUGAUUUAGAAGGCCUUCGGGUUGUAAAAAUCUUUUCUAUGGGAAGAAAAUGACAGUACCAUAGGAAUAAGGACCGGCUAAUUACGUGCCAGCCGCCGCCGUAACAC
rnacentral:rRNA from 1 species